AAUAAUUUAAAGCAAUCCACUAUUCAUAUUAAACGAAUAUGUCACUAUAACAUGUCGAAUAACAUUACAACUUUUCUGAACAAACAUAAAUGACAUACAAAUUCAACACUUCAUCUUAAUUAUAUUGAGCCUUCGUUUUUCCCCCUCUCGUAAUGCUCCUCAUCCAAGAGGAAAUCCAAUUCUUGCUUGGUGACUUCAGCUGCUUCUCCCAGGAUUCCUUAAUCACCUCCUCCACAAAAGUUAGUGUCAGAUAGAUUCGAUUAAAUAGUCUAACACAGUACAAAACCAUGAAAGCAUUUGCCCACCAUGAAGUUAGAAACACAAAUUGUUUGGAAAAAACAGGACCAAAAUUAAAAGAUCAAAUAAGGCAAUAUGAUGAUAUACAAAUUCAAUGAAUCAUGGUCUGUCUUCUUGUUCGCAAAAUAACUUUAUAAAUUAAUAUGAUAUAGAAAUUCAAUGAAUCCAAUUUAAUCAAUGAAUCCAAUUAAUUUUAAUCAAUGAAUCCAUCAACGCAUAUUUUUAGAUCAAUGAAUCCAAUUUAACCAUCAGCAUAUAUUUUUAGAUCAAUGAAUCCAAUUUAAUCAAGUUCAUAAUCAUAACCCGAAAACAAUAAGACAGACCAUAAUCAUAGUUUUACCUUCUGUACCUAAAUGAGAUCUCAUCAUAUUUUUUGCGAAUAAGGAUAUUAAUUUGCUGAAUUACUUUCUUUGCGUGAUAAACAAUUAUUAUAGUGUAUUUGAAUACGGUUCACAAUGUACCUAAAUAAGAAUUAUAUUUUUACGAAUAAGAAUAUUAAUUUGCCGAAUAACUUUCUUUGUGCGAUAAACACAUCACCCUCUAACCACCACUUCUGGACCUGUGGUUCGAUUUUCAAUAGACGGUUCCU
rnacentral:lncRNA from 1 species